GCCCAGAUGAGCAUUGGUGGUCCGGUGUAUGGGCUUCAAGCCCGUAGCUGGUGAUAGUGAGAGUGAUUCGAUGUCCCCUUCUGCUCG